UACGGAGGGGGCUAGCGUUGUUCGGAAUUACUGGGCGUAAAGCGCACGUAGGCGGAUCAGUUAGUCAGGGGUGAAAUCCCGGGGCUCAACCCCGGAACUGCCUUUGAUACUGCUGGUCUGGAGGUCGGGAGAGGCGAGUGGAAUUCCGAGUGUAGAGGUGAAAUUCGUAGAUAUUCGGAGGAACACCAGUGGCGAAGGCGGCUCGCUGGCCCGUUUCUGACGCUCAGGCACGAAAGCGUGGGGAGCAAACAGG
rnacentral:rRNA from 1 species